rnacentral:rRNA from 1 species
GGUUGAUCCUGCCGGUAGCAUAUGCUUGUCUCAAAGAUUAAGCCAUGCAUGUCUAAGUAUAAACAACUUUAUACUGUGAAACUGCGUACAGCUCAUUAUAUCAGCAAUAAUUUAUUUGAUGGUACCUUACUACAUGGAUACCCGUAGUAAUUCUAGAGCUAAUACAUGCGUAAAAUUCCGACUCUCGUAGAAGGAACGUAUUUAUUAGAUACAAAACCAAUGCGGUCCUCACGGGCCGGUCCGUUGGUGAAUCAUAAUAACUGAUCGAAUCGCAUGGCUUCGGCCGGCG